rnacentral:rRNA from 1 species
UUUACGGAGAGUUUGAUCCUGGCUCAGGAUGAACGCUGGCGGCGUGCUUAACACAUGCAAGUCGAACGGUGAACGAGGAAGCUUGCUUCCUCCGGAUCAGUGGCGAACGGGUGAGUAACACGUGAGUAACCUGCCCUUGACUCUGGGAUAAGCGUUGGAAACGACGUCUAAUACCGGAUACGACCUACGAAGGCAUCUUCUGUAGGUGGAAAGAAUUUCGGUCAAGGAUGGACUCGCGGCCUAUCAGCUAGUUGGUGAGGUAAUGGCCCACCAAGGCGACGACGGGUAGCCGGCCUGAGAGGGUGACCGGCCACACUGGGACUGAGACACGGCCCAGACUCCUACGGGAGGCAGCAGUGGGGAAUAUUGCACAAUGGGCGCAAGCCUGAUGCAGCAACGCCGCGUGAGGGACGACGGCCUUCGGGUUGUAAACCUCUUUUAGUAGGGAAGAAGCGAAAGUGACGGUACCUGCAGAAAAAGCACCGGCUAACUACGUGCCAGCAGCCGCGGUAAUACGUAGGGUGCAAGCGUUAUCCGGAAUUAUUGGGCGUAAAGAGCUCGUAGGCGGUUUGUCGCGUCUGCUGUGAAAACUGGGGGCUCAACCCCCAGCCUGCAGUGGGUACGGGCAGACUAGAGUGCGGUAGGGGAGAUUGGAAUUCCUGGUGUAGCGGUGGAAUGCGCAGAUAUCAGGAGGAACACCGAUGGCGAAGGCAGAUCUCUGGGCCGUAACUGACGCUGAGGAGCGAAAGCAUGGGGAGCGAACAGGAUUAGAUACCCUGGUAGUCCAUGCCGUAAACGUUGGGAACUAGAUGUAGGGACCAUUCCACGGUUUCUGUGUCGCAGCUAACGCAUUAAGUUCCCCGCCUGGGGAGUACGGCCGCAAGGCUAAAACUCAAAGGAAUUGACGGGGGCCCGCACAAGCGGCGGAGCAUGCGGAUUAAUUCGAUGCAACGCGAAGAACCUUACCAAGGCUUGACAUAUACCGGAAAAGUUCAGAAAUGUUCUCCCCGCAAGGUCGGUAUACAGGUGGUGCAUGGUUGUCGUCAGCUCGUGUCGUGAGAUGUUGGGUUAAGUCCCGCAACGAGCGCAACCCUCGUUCUAUGUUGCCAGCACGUAAUGGUGGGAACUCAUAGGAGACUGCCGGGGUCAACUCGGAGGAAGGUGGGGAUGACGUCAAAUCAUCAUGCCCCUUAUGUCUUGGGCUUCACGCAUGCUACAAUGGCCGAUACAAAGGGCUGCAAUACCGUAAGGUGGAGCGAAUCCCAAAAAGUCGGUCUCAGUUCGGAUUGAGGUCUGCAACUCGACCUCAUGAAGUCGGAGUCGCUAGUAAUCGCAGAUCAGCAACGCUGCGGUGAAUACGUUCCCGGGCCUUGUACACACCGCCCGUCAAGUCAUGAAAGUCGGUAACACCCGAAGCCGGUGGCCCAACCUUUUGGAGGGAGCCGUCGAAGGUGGGAUCGGUGAUUAGGACUAAGUCGUAACAAGGUAGCCGUACCGGAAGGUGCGGCUGGAUCACCUCCUUUCUAAGGA